rnacentral:rRNA from 1 species
UACGUAGGUGGCAAGCGUUAUCCGGGUUUACUGGGUGUAAAGGGCGUGUAGGCGGGGAAGCAAGUCAGAUGUGAAAACCACGGGCUCAACCUGUGGCCUGCAUUUGAAACUGUUUUUCUUGAGUGCUGGAGAGGCAAUCGGAAUUCCGUGUGUAGCGGUGAAAUGCGUAGAUAUACGGAGGAACACCAGUGGCGAAGGCGGAUUGCUGGACAGUAACUGACGCUGAGGCGCGAAAGCGUGGGGAGCAAACAGG